rnacentral:rRNA from 1 species
CCUACGGGUGGCAGCAGUGAGGAAUAUUGGUCAAUGGACGAGAGUCUGAACCAGCCAAGUCGCGUGAAGGAUGACUGCCCUAUGGGUUGUAAACUUCUUUUAUAAAGGAAUAAAACGAGGCAGUUGUGCCUUUUUGCAUGUACUUUAUGAAUAAGGAUCGGCUAACUCGGUGCCAGCAGCCGCGGUAAUACGGAGGAUCCGAGCGUUAUCCGGAUUUAUUGGGUUUAAAGGGAGCGUAGAUGGGUUGUUAAGUCAGUUGUGAAAGUUUGCGGCUCAACCGUAAAAUUGCAAUUGAUACUGGCAGUCUUGAGUACAGGUGAGGUAGGCGGAAUUCGUGGUGUAGCGGUGAAAUGCUUAGAUAUCACGAAGAACCCCGAUUGCGAAGGCAGCUUACUAAACUGUGACUGACAUUGAUGCUCGAAAGCGUGGGUAGCAAACAGGAUUAGAUACCCCAGUAGUC